AGAGUUUGAUCAUGGCUCAGGAUGAACGCUGGCGGCGUGCUUAACACAUGCAAGUCGAACGAACCUUCGGGUUAGUGGCGGACGGGCGAGUAACGCGUGAGAAUCUGCCCUCAGGAGGGGGAUAACGGUUGGAAACGACCGCUAAUACCCCAUAUGCCUAUUGGUGAAAUGAACUUCGCCUGAGGAUGAGCUCGCGUCUGAUUAGCUAGUUGGUGAGGUAAUGGCUUACCAAGGCUUCGAUCAGUAGCUGGUCUGAGAGGAUGAUCAGCCACACUGGGACUGAGACACGGCCCAGACUCCUACGGGAGGCAGCAGUGGGGAAUUUUCCGCAAUGGGCGAAAGCCUGACGGAGCAACGCCGCGUGAGGGACGAAGGCCUCUGGGCUGUAAACCUCUUUUCUCACGGAAGAAGAUAUGACGGUACUU
rnacentral:rRNA from 1 species